CAAUAGCGUAUAUUUAAGUUGUUGCAGUUAAAAAGCUCGUAGUUGGAUUUCGGAUGGGACUUGCCGGUCCGUCGUUUCGAUGUGCACUGGCCAGUCCUAUCUUGUUGUCGGGGACUAGCUCCUGGGCUUCACUGUCCGGGACUAGGAGCUGACGAGGUUACUUUGAGUAAAUUAGAGUGUUCAAAGCAAGCCUACGCUCUGAAUACAUUAGCAUGGAAUAACACGAUAGGACUCUGGCUUAUCUUGUUGGUCUGUGAGACCAGAGUAAUGAUUAAGAGGGACAGUCGGGGGCAUUCGUAUUUCAUUGUCAGAGGUGAAAUUCUUGGAUUUAUGAAAGACAAACUUCUGCGAAAGCAUUUGUCAAGGAUGUUUUCAUUAA
rnacentral:rRNA from 1 species